AAUCAGUUCACCAUGCAGGCCAUGGGCCAAGCCACUGAAGGGAUCCACCUGGACUAGGAGUGACUGGGCUGGCCACAGAGCUCUGCCCUACCCGCUCACCGCUGGACAUGAAACAGCAAGUGCCUAUCCUGGAGGGCUCCGCCUGGGGAGUGCCAGGCAAGGAGAAUGAGGCCUGGAGAGCUUAAGAGACUGGCCCACGGAGGAAGCAGGAGUCAUCUUUCCACAAAACUACACUUCCCCAAAAGCUGAACUCUUGGACAAGGAGCCCACUGCCAAACCUAAGAGUAACAAAUUUCAGCAAAUAAAAGGAAGUGCC
rnacentral:lncRNA from 10 species